rnacentral:rRNA from 1 species
GACGAACGCUGGCGGCGUGCUUAACACAUGCAAGUCGAACGGAAAGGCCUUUUCGGAGGUACUCGAGUGGCGAACGGGUGAGUAACACGUGGGUGAUCUGCCCUGCACUCUGGGAUAAGCCUGGGAAACUGGGUCUAAUACCGGAUAGGACCGCACUUUAGUGUGUGUGGUGGAAAGUUUUUUCGGUGUAGGAUGAGCCCGCGGCCUAUCAGCUUGUUGGUGGGGUAAUGGCCUACCAAGGCGGCGACGGGUAGCCGGACUGAGAGGUUGGUCGGCCACAUUGGGACUGAGAUGCGGCCCAGGCUCCUACGGGAGGCAGCAGUGGGGAAUAUUGCACAAUGGGCGCAAGCCUGAUGCAGCGACGCCGCGUGGGGGAUGACGGCCUUCGGGUUGUAAACUCCUUUCGCCAGGGACGAAGCGUUUUGUGACGGUACCUGGAGAAGAAGCACCGGCUAACUACGUG